UACGAAGGGUGCAAGCGUUACUCGGAAUUACUGGGCGUAAAGCGUGCGUAGGUGGUGAGUUAAGUCUGUCGUGAAAGCCCCGGGCUCAACCUGGGAAUGGCGAUGGAUACUGGCUCGCUAGAGUGCGGUAGAGGAGAGUGGAAUUCCCGGUGUAGCAGUGAAAUGCGCAGAUAUCGGGAGGAACACCCGUGGCGAAAGCGGCUCUCUGGGACGGUACUGACGCUGAGACGCGAAAGCGUGGGGAGCGAACAGG
rnacentral:rRNA from 1 species